AGUUCUAAAGGGAGGUGAAUCCUUGUUACAAGUAAUUAAUUAAUUGAGUAUUAUUAUUUAUUCCUUCUUGUGUGAAAUUUCUUCUGAUAAUCUGUUUUCAUUGAUUGCAUGCUAAUUGAUCUAAUUAAUUUAAUAUGGCCAAUUGAGUUAAUUUGAUCAUUAUCAUAUGCUAGAUUAAGAUUGGUAUUACGUGUAAUUGAUAUCUCUCUUCAUCACAAGUAGCAACUUGGUAAUAAUAAUUGUGGACAAACUUUUGUUUAUUGCUAAGAUUAUUAGAAAACAAGUUAAAUAAAUCGAGCUUAUGUGUUUGUUGCUUGGAUUAGCCUAAUUUUCUAUUUCUUAAUGUUUCUAUCAUAUUAAAUCUAGAGAGCUUAUUCUAGGUUAUAUGCUAGUUAGAAUCUGGUGGAGAGCUUGUUUCAUACAGUGAUAAUCUAAGGAGAAUUUCGGAUAGCAGAGCUUAUUGUUAUCUAGGGCUAAUAAUUUCAUUGAAGGAGAAAUAAUAAUUACUUGAUUAAUUGAUUGUUGUACUUGGUGAAACUGAACUGCAGAACUGAAGUUUUACAUAUUUGGUUAAUUUUAUCGUUAAUUCUUG
rnacentral:lncRNA from 1 species